AGAGAAGGGAGAGGGAGGGAAAGUGAGGGAGGAAGGCGGAAAGAGGGAUUUAACAGAGUCCCCGAGUCACAGUUCACACAUGAGUCACAGGGUCUUAUCGCUGUGGCGACAGGAAGCCAGCCGGCAUGUGAUGCUGGCCUAUCAGCACAGUGACGAUGGUUAUCUUGACAGCUGACAGGUCCGAAGGGAAGGGGCUUAAUUACCAUGCGAGCAUGUACCAGAGGAUGAUGAUAGAGGAGGAUAAGAUGGAGAGAGAUGAAGAUCCAGACUGAGGGUCCUGUUGGCAUGGCCGCCUCGUGUGUGUGUGUGUGUGACAGGAUACCCUAUCCCUCCCCCCUCCCCCAGCAAGCAAAGCGUCGCCCCCGCCGACCUGAGAACAGUAGCCCUGGGGCAGUCAGCUGCCCUACCCCCCCCUCCCCUCCCUGGCAGACCUCCAGCUCAGACACCAGGCACCCAUCACCCCCAGGACUGUCCAUCUCUUCUUGGCUGGAACGGGAGGAAAACCAAACGGUUUGAGGAAGAUUCCACUCGCGUGUUUUUCUGCACGUGUGUGUUUAUAAAUGGAACCAACUGCCUCUCAUUCCACCCACAUUCGUCAUCACUUGACGGUGGAAGUUGACGUGGAACGGGACUUCCUGUCCUGACAGGAAGCAGGAUAUCCGCAGGUCUGUCCUGUCCAUCCCUCCCCGACCUCUUGGCCCCAGGACAUGAUGCCAUUUUGAUGUUUCGUCAUGGCCUGCUGG